UACGUAGGGUGCAAGCGUUAAUCGGAAUUACUGGGCGUAAAGCGUGCGCAGGCGGCGCGUUAAGACAGGUGUGAAAGCCCCGAGCUUAACUUGGGAAUUGCGCUUGUGACUGGCGUGCUGGAGUUCGGCAGGGGGAGACUGGAAUUCCUGGUGUAGCGGUGAAAUGACGCAGAUAUCAGGAGGAACACCGGUGGCGAAGGCGGGUCUCUGGGCCGAUACUGACGCUGGAGGAGCGAAAGCGUGGGGAGCAAACAGG
rnacentral:rRNA from 1 species